rnacentral:rRNA from 1 species
GUGGGGAAUAUUGGACAAUGGGCGCAAGCCUGAUCCAGCCAUGCCGCGUGUGUGAAGAAGGCCUUCGGGUUGUAAAGCACUUUUGUCCGGGAAGAAAUCUUCCAGGUUAAUACCCUGGGAGGCUGACGGUACCGGAAGAAUAAGCACCGGCUAACUUCGUGCCAGCAGCCGCGGUAAUACGAAGGGUGCAAGCGUUACUCGGAAUUACUGGGCGUAAAGCGUGCGUAGGUGGUUCGUUAAGUCUGCCGUGAAAGCCCCGGGCUCAACCUGGGAAUGGCGGUGGAUACUGGCGGGCUAGAGUGCGGUAGAGGGUGGUGGAAUUCCCGGUGUAGCAGUGAAAUGCGUAGAGAUCGGGAGGAACAUCUGUGGCGAAGGCGGCCACCUGGACCAGCACUGACACUGAGGCACGAAAGCGUGGGGAGCAAACAGGAUUAGAUACCCUUGUAGUCC